rnacentral:snoRNA from 1 species
GUGACGAGCUAAGGGUCUCCUGACCUGUGAAGAGAUGCCCAUGCUGA